UCCCGAAUACUUCAGUUCAUUUUUUUUCACGUUUCCUUGAAUUACUCCCAUGCCCUCUCUCUCUCUCCAUUGAAGAUGUGACGUCCUCUGGUGUCGCCGCCGCCGCCGCGGCUCGCGUCGCACGAGCUCCUUCCACCGCCGCUCUCAAUGCGUUUGCUCCUUUCGUCGUCACACGAGCUUUCUCGGCCGUGCACUUGUCUUACGAGCUCCCUCCGCCGCCGCUCUCGCGCUGCUUCUUCUCUCCUCGCCGGAGGUCCGCUGAAGGUUACACCAUUUAUGGUCGAGUGAAGAUCCCCAGCAGCAAGAAUUGUUGCAAGCACGUGAAAAGCAUAAGGAAGAGCAAGUGAUUGCUUUGAAGCACUCUAUGCAAAGUGGAAUGAGACAGAUUUCUACUAGAGCUUUAAUGCCCCCUCCUCGCCCCUCAAACAAGAAGCUGUCAAGUGUCAUCGUCUUCAUUAAUGGUGUGAAUGGAGCAAGUCAGAAGAGAACGAGCCACCAAUGAUGGCAGCAUGCAUUCAAGUCUGCUACCCAUCUCACUGUGUUGCUUUGGAAGCUUAGAUGCUACAUUGAUUCUACUCUAAUUUGAUGGGUGUUAUAUGCUUCGCAGGUUCUGGCUCAUUAUGUAUCUAACCCAUAGUAAAAUUUCCAGAAAAGCAUAUCUAAUCUUUGCAGUUUUAUAUGAAGAGAUUAUUCUAGCCCUAGCAUGUUAAGAUAGAAAUCUCGUUUCCAGGUAUUUUUAUUAUGCUUCCCUUAGAGCUUCUUGUCUACCCACUUUUAAUGAUAUAAUCUAGGAUGAAAAUUUUCUUUUGUCCAAGUUUUAUAUGCUAUGCUUUGUUGUAAUAUUCAUGCAUGUCAUGGUUAUCAUGUCUUUUCGAAACUGGUAAAUGUUAGGCAUAUUUGUAACAGGGACAUGGAAGCUAUGAAGAUCGUACUGAGAUGCUUCGUCUUAUUGUAGAUCUCGUGGAGGCAACUAUCUUUGCUGAUAAUUCAGAAUGGAGAUUGUUACUAGUAGCCAAGGAUACACAGUUGAUAGAUUCCAUUGCUGAAAAACAAUCCCAGAUAUUUUCAGAAAAAUGUAAAUUGUUUCCAGCAGAUGUGCAGAUUCAGUCCAUAUAUCCAUUGCCAGAAGUUUCUGAGCUCGAGGCAAAACUUUCUGAAGAGUAAAAAAUUUGUUGAAUCUUCAACAAAAGGUGGAUGAAUUAGCAUCCAAAGUACAGAACAUUUUAAUGCACUUCUUGUCUUUGGAUAGGUGUAGAAAUUAAUCAGCAGCUUGAAAUCUUCUAUCCGUUGUUUCUGCUUCCAUGCUUAUUAAUUCACCUAGUAAUGUCUUUUAUUUUUCAUUCAUAACUGAAUCAAGCCUAUGAUAAUCCUGUUUUAUUUCUUGAGAGAGAGAGAGAGAGAGAGAGAGAAAGUUAACAAUAUAUCUCGACAUAUUUCAACACUAAUAAUCACCCUCAAACAUUACUUAGCAUUUCUGAUUCUUCCUGUCAAUACUAGAACUGAGUUUCACUUUUGAGAACUCAUUAUAAUUUGGCUUCUUCCUGAAUGUGAAUCAGCAUUGAUAGUCUUGAAUCGUGAUCUUGGAAUUUUCUCGGCUUUCAAAUUUUCAGUGUCAAAGCAACUAUUGAUAGGUAUAAGAAAUAUGUUUAGAUUCAUCUGGUGCUGGAUCUGCUUCCGAGAUUAAUGCUCGGUAUUACCAGCAAGAAGUAGAAAAAUUGUGUGCCCAAAUUAGUAAUCUGCAGAAUAACAAAUUUUGAAUGCUAUUGGGAGUUUGAGACAGAUAUUUCAGCAUUUCAAUAAAAAAUACAAAGAUUCAAUAAAUUUCGGUCUAGAUCCAUCAAACUUGCCUCCAUGAAGCAAAGAAGCAGUGUUAAGGAUGAUGUUAAAUUGAAGAAUUAGAAUAUGUAAAUUUCGGUCUAGAUUCAGCAAACUUGACUCCUCCAUGUCUCUUUUUAUAUUUCUUGAUUUGGUUACAGAAUUACAAUGCAAACAUUAAUAUUUUAAUUUGUUCAUGACUUGCUUGUUUA